rnacentral:rRNA from 1 species
GAUGAACGCUGGCGGCGUGCCUAACACAUGCAAGUCGAGCGAAGCACUUUGCUUAGAUUCUUCGGAUGAAGAGGAUUGUGACUGAGCGGCGGACGGGUGAGUAACGCGUGGGUAACCUGCCUCAUACAGGGGGAUAACAGUUAGAAAUGACUGCUAAUACCGCAUAAGACCACAGCACCGCAUGGUGCGGGGGUAAAAACUCCGGUGGUAUGAGAUGGACCCGCGUCUGAUUAGCUAGUUGGUAAGGUAACGGCUUACCAAGGCGACGAUCAGUAGCCGACCUGAGAGGGUGACCGGCCACAUUGGGACUGAGACACGGCCCAAACUCCUACGGGAGGCAGCAGUGGGGAAUAUUGCACAAUGGGGGAAACCCUGAUGCAGCGACGCCGCGUGAGCGAAGAAGUAUUUCGGUAUGUAAAGCUCUAUCAGCAGGGAAGAAAAUGACGGUACCUGACUAAGAAGCACCG